CCUACGGGAGGCAGCAGUGGGGAAUUUUGGACAAUGGGCGCAAGCCUGAUCCAGCAAUGCCGCGUGAGUGAAGAAGGCCUUCGGGUUGUAAAGCUCUUUUGUCAGGGAAGAAACGGUGAGGGCUAAUAUCCCUUGCUAAUGACGGUACCUGAAGAAUAAGCACCGGCUAACUACGUGCCAGCAGCCGCGGUAAUACGUAGGGUGCAAGCGUUAAUCGGAAUUACUGGGCGUAAAGCGUGCGCAGGCGGUUUUGUAAGUCUGUCGUGAAAUCCCCGGGCUCAACCUGGGAAUUGCGAUGGAGACUGCAAGGCUAGAAUCUGGCAGAGGGGGGGUAGAAUUCCACGUGUAGCAGUGAAAUGCGUAGAUAUGUGGAGGAACACCGAUGGCGAAGGCAGCCCCCUGGGUCAAGAUUGACGCUCAUGCACGAAAGCGUGGGGAGCAAACAGGAUUAGAUACCCUGGUAGUCCACGCCCUAAACGAUGUCUACUAGUUGUCGGGUCUUAAUUGACUUGGUAACGCAGCUAACGCGUGAAGUAGACCGCCUGGGGAGUACGGUCGCAAGAUUAAAACUCAAAGGAUUGACGG
rnacentral:rRNA from 1 species